UACGAAGGGGGCGAGCGUUGUUCGGAGUUACUGGGCGUAAAGGGCGCGUAGGCGGCGGACCAAGUUAGGCGUGAAAGCCCCGGGCUCAACCUGGGAAUUGCGCUUAAGACUGGUCUGCUCGAGUGCGGGAGAGGUGAGUGGAAUUCCCAGUGUAGAGGUGAAAUUCGUAGAUAUUGGGAAGAACACCAGUGGCGAAGGCGGCUCACUGGCCCGCAACUGACGCUGAGGCGCGAAAGCGUGGGGAGCAAACAGG
rnacentral:rRNA from 1 species